rnacentral:rRNA from 1 species
GAUGAACGCUGGCGGCGUGCCUAAUACAUGCAAGUCGAGCGAACAGACGAGGAGCUUGCUCCUCUGACGUUAGCGGCGGAAGGGAGAGUAACACGUGGAUAACCUACCUAUAAGACUGGGAUAACUUCGGGAAACCGGAGCUAAUACCGGAUAAUAUAUUGAACCGCAUGGUUCAAUAGUGAAAGCCGGUUUUGCUGUCACUUAUAGAUGGAUCCGCGCCGCAUUAGCUAGUUGGUAAGGUAACGGCUUACCAAGGCAACGAUGCGUAGCCGACCUGAGAGGGUGACCGGCCACACUGGAACUGAGACACGGUCCAGACUCCUACGGGAGGCAGCAGUAGGGAAUCUUCCGCAAUGGGCGAAAGCCUGACGGAGCAACGCCGCGUGAGUGAUGAAGGUCUUCGGAUCGUAAAACUCUGUUAUUAGGGAAGAACAAAUGUGUAAGUAACUAUGCACGUCUUGACGGUACCUAAUCAGAAAGCCACGGCUAACUACGUG